AAUGAACGCUGGCGGCAGGCCUAACACAUGCAAGUCGAGCGAGGUAGCAAUACCUAGCGGCGGACGGGUGAGUAACGCGUGGGAACGUACCCUUUGCUUCGGAAUAGCCCCUGGAAACGGGGAGUAAUACCGGAUGAGCCCUACGGGGGAAAGAUUUAUCGGCAAAGGAUCGGCCCGCGUUGGAUUAGGUAGUUGGUGGGGUAAUGGCCUACCAAGCCGACGAUCCAUAGCUGGUUUGAGAGGAUGAUCAGCCACACUGGGACUGAGACACGGCCCAGACUCCUACGGGAGGCAGCAGUGGGGAAUCUUAGACAAUGGGCGCAAGCCUGAUCUAGCCAUGCCGCGUGAUCGAUGAAGGCCUUAGGGUUGUAAAGAUCUUUCGUGGGGGAAGAUAAUGACGGUACCCCAAGAAGAAGCCCCGGCUAACUCCGUGCCAGCAGCCGCGGUAAUACGGAGGGGGCUAGCGUUAUUCGGAAUUACUGGGCGUAAAGCGCACGUAGGCGGAUUGAAAAGUCAGAGGUGAAAUCCCAGAGCUCAACUUUGGAACUGCCUUUGAAACUCUCAGUCUUGAGGUCGAGAGAGGUGAGUGGAAUUCCGAGUGUAGAGGUGAAAUUCGUAGAUAUUCGGAGGAACACCAGUGGCGAAGGCGGCUCACUGGCUCG
rnacentral:rRNA from 1 species